GACGAACGCUGGCGGCGUGCUUAACACGUGCAAGUCGAACGGUAAGGCCCUUCGGGGUACACGAGUGGCGAACGGGUGAGUAACACGUGGGUGAUCUGCCCUGCACUUCGGGAUAAGCCUGGGAAACUGGGUCUAAUACCGGAUAGGACCACUGCCUGCACAGGCGGUGGUGGAAAGCUUUUGCGGUGUGGGAUGGGCCCGCGGCCUAUCAGCUUGUUGGUGGGGUGAUGGCCUACCAAGGCGGCGCAGGGUAGCCGGCCUGAGAAGGUGACCGGGCACACUGGGACUGAGCUACGGCACAGACUCCUACGGGAUGCAGCAGUGGGGAAUAGUGCACAAUGGGCGCAAGCCUGAUGCAGCGACGCCGCGUGGGGGAUGACGGCCUUCGGGUUGUAAACCUCUUUCAGCACCGACGAAGCGCAAGUGACGGUAGGUGCAGAAGAAGGACCGGCCAACUACGUGCCAGCCGCCGCAGUAA
rnacentral:rRNA from 1 species